CACUACGGCCAUGCCACCCUGAACAAGCCCGAUCCUGUCUGAUCUCGGAAGCUAAGCAAGAUUGGGCCUGGUUAGUACUUGGAUGGGAGAUCACCUAGGAAGCCUAGGUGCUGUAGGUG
rnacentral:rRNA from 1 species